rnacentral:rRNA from 2 species
AAAUUGAAGAGUUUGAUCAUGGCUCAGAUUGAACGCUGGCGGCAGGCCUAACACAUGCAAGUCGAACGGUAACAGGAAGCAGCUUGCUGCUUUGCUGACGAGUGGCGGACGGGUGAGUAAUGUCUGGGAAACUGCCUGAUGGAGGGGGAUAACUACUGGAAACGGUGGCUAAUACCGCAUAACGUCGCAAGACCAAAGAGGGGGACCUUCGGGCCUCUUGCCAUCAGAUGUGCCCAGAUGGGAUUAGCUUGUUGGUGAGGUAACGGCUCACCAAGGCGACGAUCCCUAGCUGGUCUGAGAGGAUGACCAGCCACACUGGAACUGAGACACGGUCCAGACUCCUACGGGAGGCAGCAGUGGGGAAUAUUGCACAAUGGGCGCAAGCCUGAUGCAGCCAUGCCGC